rnacentral:ncRNA from 1 species
AGUUUUGGCUCGCAUAACGCGAUUAAUAGGGAAUCCGGUGAAAAUCCGGGACAGACCCGCUACUGUAAUUCCUUCAGAACUCAUCAAUAUUAUGCCACUGUCGGCUUGACCGAUGGGAAGGCGUUGACGAGGGGAUAAGUCAGGAGACCUGCCAAGGCAACA